GACGAACGCUGGCGGCGUGCUUAACACAUGCAAGUCGAACGGAAAGGCCCUGCUUUUGUGGGGUGCUCGAGUGGCGAACGGGUGAGUAACACGUGAGUAACCUGCCCUUGACUUUGGGAUAACUUCAGGAAACUGGGGCUAAUACCGGAUCGGAGCUCCUGCUGCAUGGUGGGGGUUGGAAAGUUUCGGCGGUUGGGGAUGGACUCGCGGCUUAUCAGCUUGUUGGUGGGGUAGUGGCUUACCAAGGCUUUGACGGGUAGCCGGCCUGAGAGGGUGACCGGCCACAUUGGGACUGAGAUACGGCCCAGACUCCUACGGGAGGCAGCAGUGGGGAAUAUUGCACAAUGGGCGGAAGCCUGAUGCAGCAACGCCGCGUGCCGGAUGACGGCCUUCGGGUUGUAAACCGCUUUCGCCUGUGACGAAGCGUGAGUGACGGUAAUGGGUAAAGAAGCACCGGCUAACUACGUG
rnacentral:rRNA from 1 species